AAAUUGAAGAGUUUGAUCAUGGCUCAGAUUGAACGCUGGCGGCAGGCCUAACACAUGCAAGUCGAACGGUAACAGGAAGCAGCUUGCUGUUUCGCUGACGAGUGGCGGACGGGUGAGUAAUGUCUGGGAAACUGCCUGAUGGAGGGGGAUAACUACUGGAAACGGUAGCAAAUACCGCAUAACGUCGCAAGACCAAAGAGGGGGAC
rnacentral:rRNA from 1 species